UACAGAGGUGGCAAGCGUUGUUCGGAAUUACUGGGCGUAAAGGGCGCGUAGGCGGUUCGAUAAGUCCUGUGUGAAAUCCCUCGGCUCAACUGAGGAACUGCACGGGAGACUGUCGGGCUUGAGUUCGGGAGAGGGAAGCGGAAUUCCGGGUGUAGCGGUGAAAUGCGUAGAUAUCCGGAGGAACACCGGUGGCGAAGGCGGCUUCCUGGACCGACACUGACGCUGAGGAGCGAAAGCCAGGGGAGCAAACGGG
rnacentral:rRNA from 1 species